UACAGAGGUCUCAAGCGUUGUUCGGAUUCAUUGGGCGUAAAGGGUGCGUAGGCGGCGCGGUAAGUCGGGUGUGAAAUCUCUGGGCUCAACUCAGAGAGGCCACUCGAUACUGCUAUGACUAGAGUCCGGUAGGGGACCAUGGAAUUCCUGGUGUAGCGGUGAAAUGCGCAGAUAUCAGGAGGAACACCGGUGGCGAAGGCGGUGGUCUGGGCCGGCACUGACGCUGAGGAGCGAAAGCGUGGGGAGCGAACAGG
rnacentral:rRNA from 1 species